UACGGAGGGGGCUAGCGUUGUUCGGAAUUACUGGGCGUAAAGCGCACGUAGGCGGCUUUGUAAGUUAGAGGUGAAAGCCCGGGGCUCAACUCCGGAAUUGCCUUUAAGACUGCAUCGCUAGAAUUGUGGAGAGGUAAGUGGAAUUCCGAGUGUAGAGGUGAAAUUCGUAGAUAUUCGGAAGAACACCAGUGGCGGAGGCGACUUACUGGACACAUAUUGACGCUGAGGUGCGAAAGCGUGGGGAGCAAACAGG
rnacentral:rRNA from 1 species